UACGGGGGGAGCAAGCGUUGUUCGGAUUUACUGGGCGUAAAGGGCGCGUAGGCGGCCACCGCAAGUCGACUGUGAAAUCUCCGGGCUUAACCCGGAAAGGUCAGCCGAUACUGCGGGGCUAGAGUGCAGAAGGGGCAACUGGAAUUCUCGGUGUAGCGGUGAAAUGCGUAGAUAAUCGAGAGGAACACCUGCGGCGAAGGCGGGUUGCU
rnacentral:rRNA from 1 species